UUCUUUGUCUUUGUUCUGCUUUCAUUUGAAUCAUUUUCACUUUUGGCACAAUUUCAUUUUCGAAGAUCCAGUGUUGUGGCUCUGCUAGGGUUUGGCACAAUUUCAUUCUCGAAUAUCCAGUGUUGUGGCUCUGCUAGGGUUGGAGCUGAGAACGCAAGAAGUGGAAGAGCAAGUGUUCGUUGUGUGCUAGUGUUGGAGCUGAUAGAGAACGUCGUGCAAUCGUUCUGAGAAGCCGGAAGCUGAGGAAUGCGUGGCGCGGUUGCGAAAUUCGAAGUAUGAUCAUUCGGAUUAUCUGAGAAAAAAACUCUCGGCGCUUGAUCUGAGAAAUCCCAGAGCUUACAAAGACACGAGAAGAGGGUUAGCAGUUUGCAUUUCAGCUUGUGAUGAUGAUGGAAAUGCAGCAGAUACAUCGGUUCCUGGAAAUGAAAACCCUUCUGUUUUGAUUUCUUUUGCGUCAAAGACACUUAAUGCUGGUCAGGUCACAUCCAAGUUGCAUGUUAUAGAACUGGGUGCUCAGCCAAGUCUGCAUAUUUUUCAGCUCCUUCAUGAUUUAUCUCUUAUUGUAAUUAUUUUGGGCAAUAUAUGUUUUGUUGUCAAAACUGUCAUGUGUGCUGUAUUGAUUCUAUCAUGCCUUGAUGAAUUUUAAUGUCCAUUGUAGAGUUGAAUUUGAAAUUGGUUAUUUUCAAUAAUGUGUGUCUUGUAACUGUUAAAUGUUACUUAGAGCAUGGUUUGAGUAUUGCGUUCCAGGUGUUACCAUGUGUUUAAUCGCUAGACAAAGUUGAUUAUGCAUUUGUAAUUGUAUUGAAUUUAUGUUGAGUUUGUCAAUUGUAAUUAUAAGGACAUGUUGAAAGUGGGAGGUGGAUGAAUCAGGAAAUAUUCAUUACAUGUGAAUGAUUUUAGUGGCUAAUUUUCAUAGCAGUAUAUUGAAACCAGUCAGUAUUUUUUAAAACGGAUAAGGGUAUUAAGAAAUUGAACCAUGUGCAUCAAUUGAUCAUCCUUAUUGAGCCCGGAUUCAUGUGUCUCCUUACCUAAUGGCUUAAGCUUUUUAAAUAUUUUUCAGAACCUGUGUAAUAAAAUUUUUGCGUUCUUUCCUUUCUGUUCCUAUUCUACUAAGAAAAAGUUGGACAUGAGCACAGGACAGGGUGUCGUCUUCAUUAUCCAUGCUUCAAGCCCAAAAGAUUCUAGCACAAGGGGCAUGUUGGAAAUGCAAUAUGAAAUCACUCAAGCAAUCUUCCCUUCACCUAACAAUCUAAUAUUUUUAUAUAGUUGGUCCAUGACAAAAUUUAUGAAUUUGUUUAUAAGGAGGCCGUCAUUUACGAAGAAACAAGCAGAUCUUUUCUUCCCCCCUGAUUUUGGUGAUGAUUUUCCAGUUGCCAUGUAGGUACAGAAGUUACUAGUACUUGUGCAUUUUAUAAACAAUGUAGAUAUUUGAUCCCUACUUUGUUUUUUUGGCAGAUAUCUGAGAAAUACAAUUUGAUUUAUGUGAUUACGAAACUUGAGCUACUAUUUCUCUAUGAUUUGAAGGUCACCUGCUUGUUGUGUUAUUGCUCAGAAGGGGACAAUGUAUCUCAUGCUUUUCAAUUAGCCGAUGCAACAUAUAAACUAGUACAUAUGCUUUGUCACUUUAAUGUGGAUUUUCAAAAUUAUUAUUUUCUAAACCCUUUGUCCCUCAUCCCACUACUGAGAGUAUUAUCAUUUUUUUGGGUCUGCUGAAUUUCUUGGAUUAGAAAAUCUUUGUCGCGUGUAUUUUCAUGGAUAUCUUAUUUUAAGAUACAAAUAUCUCAGUAUUUCUCCUAUCAACCACAUCUCUCAUUUUUCGCAUGUUAAAGAUUUAAUUGUGAAAAAUGAAUAAACAUAUUUCUGCAAGUAAAAAAACGUUAGAGUUGGUUUCUAAUAUUUCGUGCAAUGCCUUUCCGGGAAUUGAAAGUAGCACAUGGCGAGUGCCACUUUCUUGGAUGACUGUGUAUGGACCACCCCCAGAUGUGUCCAUCUUCUAAGAUAUGUUGUUGAGAGAAUGGAUGGUGAUCUGUGGGCCAAAGUUCUUCAUCCUGAUAAUGACCAUAGAAGGCAACUUAUUGAUGAAGUUGUAUCCACUGCUUUGGCAGAAAGCUCAAGCCCUGAGCAAAGCUGUUAAGGCUUUCAUGACAGCUGAUCUGCCUCAUGAACUGAUUGAACUUGUUGAGAAGAUCGUCGUUCAGAAUUUUGCAUUCAUUGGGAACUUUAAUUUGCAGAAUCUUCUUAUUUUGAUAGCGAUAAAGGCCAACCCAUCCAGAGUUGUGGAUAAUGUCAAUAGGUUAGAUAAUUUUGAUGGACAACAACCCUGGAAAGAAUUGACCUAUUUGUAUAUACAAUAUGAAUAGUUUCAUAACGAUGGAACUACCAUGAUGAACCAUUCAGCUGAAGCAUGGGAUCACAUGCAAUUCAAAUAUUUUGUUGUUAAAGUUGCUAACGUGGAAUUGUAUUAUAAGGCUUUAAAUUCUUAAUUCUUACUUCCAU